UAACUGAGUGUGGUGGCACAUUCCGGUAGUCCCAGUUAUUUGACUGAAGGGAGGAUUGCUUGAGCCCAGGAGUUCUAGGCUGUAGUGCCUGAAGCUCCACUGGGUAUCUGCACUAAGUCUGGCAUCAAUAUGGUGACCCCUUGUGAGCAGGGGACCAUCAGGUUGCCUGAGGAGGAGUGAACUGCCCCAGGUUGGAAACCUCUGUCAAAACUCCCGUGCUGAUCCGUAGUGAGAUGGUGCCUAUGAACAGUCACUCCACCCCAGCCUGGGCAAUAUAUCAAGACCCUGU
ensembl:misc_RNA Metazoa_SRP Metazoan signal recognition particle RNA